UACGUAGGGUGCGAGCGUUGUCCGGAAUUAUUGGGCGUAAUGGGCUCGUAGGCGGUUUGUCGCGUCGGGAGUGAAAACCUUGGGCUUAACUCAGGGCUUGCUUUCGAUACGGGCAGACUAGAGGUAUGCAGGGGAGAACGGAAUUCCUGGUGUAGCGGUGAAAUGCGCAGAUAUCAGGAGGAACACCGGUGGCGAAGGCGGUUCUCUGGGCAUGAUCUGACGCUGAGGAGCGAAAGUGUGGGGAGCGAACAGG
rnacentral:rRNA from 1 species